GACGAACGCUGGCGGCGUGCUUAACACAUGCAAGUCGAACGAUGAAGCCCUUCGGGGUGGAUUAGUGGCGAACGGGUGAGUAACACGUGGGCAAUCUGCCCUGCACUCUGGGACAAGCCCUGGAAACGGGGUCUAAUACCGGAUAACACCCCCUCUCGCAUGGGUGGGGGUUGAAAGCUCCGGCGGUGCAGGAUGAGCCCGCGGCCUAUCAGCUUGUUGGUGAGGUAGAAGCUCACCAAGGCGACGACGGGUAGCCGGCCUGAGAGGGCGACCGGCCACACUGGGACUGAGACACGGCCCAGACUCCUACGGGAGGCAGCAGUGGGGAAUAUUGCACAAUGGGCGAAAGCCUGAUGCAGCGACGCCGCGUGAGGGAUGACGGCCUUCGGGUUGUAAACCUCUUUCAGCAGGGAAGAAGCGAAAGUGACGGUACCUGCAGAAGAAGCGCCGGCUAACUACGUGCCAGCAGCCGCGGUAAUACGUAGGGCGCAAGCGUUGUCCGGAAUUAUUGGGCGUAAAGAGCUCGUAGGCGGCUUGUCGCGUCGGUUGUGAAAGCCCGGGGCUUAACCCCGGGUCUGCAGUCGAUACGGGCAGGCUAGAGUGUGGUAGGGGAGAUCGGAAUUCCUGGUGUAGCGGUGAAAUGCGCAGAUAUCAGGAGGAACACCGGUGGCGAAGGCGGAUCUCUGGGCCAUUACUGACGCUGAGGAGCGAAAGCGUGGGGAGCGAACA
rnacentral:rRNA from 1 species